GUCUUCUAGAAGCAGAAUCUGAGAUAGGGAUUCUUACGCAAGCAAAACUUUAAGGAAGAGAGUUCUCAGCAGAGACUGUAAGGAGCAGAGGGAAGCAGGAGAAGGCAGAAGGAGAAGCUAAGCCAGGCUGUGAUUUCCAGCGACACACAGCCUUGCUCGAUCUGAAGACAAGCUACGGAGUUUCUCUAGAAUGUGUCGCUUCUGCUGUGGAGCCAGCUCUCUGCUUUUGUGUCAGCGAUUGCAGGCUGUCACUGUGAGGGCGGAUUCCAGUACAAGCCGCUACCUUCAGCCAAGGGCGAUUUCCAGGGAACAGUGGCUGUGAGCCGCUAUUACUCACCCUCAUGGCAGCUGAGAGGCAGAUGCAAGAGCCGAGUAAAGGGAGUGUAGAUGGAGCAGUGAGAAGAUGUGUGCUAGAGUUUAAGGAACUGCCACUUCUUUAACCUCCUCUUGAGGAACCAGAUAAUGGUUCACUACGAGAUGCUUCAGACAACUGGCGGAGUAGAAUAACGUUUAUUUAACUAUAUCUGCAUCUGGAGUGGAUCCUCUUGGCUUCUCCCCGGUAACUGUUCCCACUUCCUUUCUUUCCUGUGCCCAAGGCUUGUGUUCCUUUGCAGAGCCUGGAAAGCUGGGCGCUCCCUUCCCCAGCCUCUCUUUGUUUUCAUGUCCUGGCCGGGGAUGGAAGAAAUCUUGGGAGGACUCAUAGAGGAGGAAAAUCACCUUGGCCUUGCUGUGACGUUUCGAUGCUAGGAGCUACUUCAGACACUUUACCAGCCCACGACCAAGCCCACAGAAGCUCAGCGAAGUCGUGCUGCCAGCGUGUCCCUGAGGAAUGAAUGACAUAAUUAUGCAUUGAACAUGAUUUACUGGAUAUUUCAGGAGCUACAAGAAAGAGAACCAAUGAACCUAGAGGAUGUAAGAUAAAAGGUGAGGUGGGGAUCAUUACCUAGCUAGUUAUUUGUAUAUAUUUAUAUAGUUUGGGGGUUUGUGUAAGUAUGUGUAUAUGUCCUUAGAAAGAGGUGUUCUAGUCCAGUUUGUGAAGAUUUUUCUUUACAAAGCUCUAGUUCAGGUAGAACUUGAUAAGGUUUGGUAAUUGGGAGGCGGUAUCUCUUACUGCUCAGAUAUCUGUCUGCCUUGCUCAGCACAGCCGACUUUGCCUCUUCUUCCCUGGACCUGAGGAUUUGUUAUUGUACCAGGCAAGGUCAUCUCACACGCACUGACUGCUGGCCUUUUCCAC
rnacentral:lncRNA from 1 species